GACGAACGCUGGCGGCGUGCUUAACACAUGCAAGUCGAACGGAGAUUAUUAAUGAAGCUUGCGAUUUAAUAAUCUUAGUGGCGGACGGGUGAGUAACGCGUGGGCAACCUACCCAUAAGCGGGGGAUAACAGUUGGAAACGACUGCUAAUACCGCAUAAGCUAUAGAGGUCGCAUGACCUAAAUAGUAAAGGUGGCAUUUAAAGAUGCUAUCACUUAUGGAUGGGCCCGCGUCUGAUUAGCUAGUUGGUGGGGUAGUGGCCUACCAAGGCAACGAUCAGUAGCCGGCCUGAGAGGGUGGACGGCCACACUGGGACUGAGACACGGCCCAGACUCCUACGGGAGGCAGCAGUGGGGAAUAUUGCGCAAUGGGGGAAACCCGUGACGCAGCGACGCCGCGUGAGCGAAGAAGGCCUUAGGGUCGUAAAGCUCUGUUGUAAGGGACGAAUGUUUAUCUGACGAACAGUCAGAUAAAGUGACGGUACCUUACCAGCAAGCCCGGCUAA
rnacentral:rRNA from 1 species